rnacentral:lncRNA from 1 species
UCCGUCCCCCCUCAGCUGUAAGUCCCCCAUGCAUGAGCAGAAGCAGGGCAGUCCCUGCAGACAAGCAGCCCAUGCUGCCUUGAUGUGCCUGCAGGCGCUGCCUGGGGAGCGCACAAGAGGUGGAAGCAAGUCCUGUAAAACCUGCAGAGCCUGUCCUGCCAAGAUGAGCAUCUUGCCGUGGAGAACUGCCUGGGAUGAUGUUUGCAAGGCUGUGAGCCUCCCUCCUAGGCUGGGGAGGCUGCCUGCAAGGCUGCCUGGCGUGGAGCAGGGCUGUGGCCGUGGGAUACCUGCCUGCUCCCAGGUGGACUCCCGGGCACCAGCACGGGGAGUGCUCUCUCCAGCAGACGGGGACAUUUUUCCCCUGGGGUCAAGUGAGCCGCAACCACAGGGCAUUCCAGUCCAAGCACUGCUGAUUUCUGCUUUUGCCCAUCUGAAGAAACGAACGGGUGUGCUGACACGCCAGCGCUGGCCCGGCUCCACGCCGCAGCCUGCCGCUCCGCCGCGCUCGGGAGGAGCGCUCCGAGGAAAGGAAGCCAAGAUGCCCUCGUGCUGCCCGAGCUGCCCCCGCUGCUGCUGGUGGUGGAAAUGGAAAUGCUGAGCCUCGAGUGGGUCUCUGGCCUGGCCUCAGCAUCUGUGCUUGUGCUUUGCCCUUUUUUCCCUUUCCAGGGCAUACUCCGGGGAUGGGAGCUGGGGGCUCUUCGUCUUUGUGGCCAUGCUCCCUGGCCAGCAUUUAACAGCUGUUAGUGAUUUAGGGGAAAAUUCUCAUCCUUGUAGUCACAACAUGCUGCUAAAUACCAUGCAACUUAGAGUAAAGGUAUUGUAAGUAACCUUUUGGUUAUCAGGUAGAGAACCUGGGGAGCUUGGAGGCUGAGAGCUGGAGACACAAGGACUUGGUGAGCCCAGGAGGAUGGGGUGGGUGUGCGGUGGCAGAGGAGAGCUGCUGGGUGGCCAGGGACCAUGGGACAUGUCCUGGUCCUGGUCCUGGUCCUGGUGGGACUGUCAGGGACCUGGCAGCACCGCACCAAGGCCCUGGGCAUUGCAAGGACGAGGAGCACACAGGAGCGUGCAGCAGGAGGGAGGGCAGCUGCGCGGCAGGGAGAGGUCUGAAACAAUCCCGAGCAAAUAACAGGGCGGAGGAGCCCCAGCUGCUGCCGGCCAGGCUCCAUUGUGCCCAUUUCCAGCAAUCUGGGAACACAAUUUGUGCUCUGACUGUUCCAGUCCGUGGUAGUAUUUUUUUUCUCCUACGUUGAUUUUGUGCUAAAAUGAACCGCCCUGAAAAGAGACAUUUUGUUGUUGUUGUUGGAUUAUUUCUGAGAUGCUUUGUCAGCACACCAUGCGACACCCAUGCAGGGAGGUGGAGCUGCUGCAGCCACGGGGGGAUACCCGAGGUCACCCCCCAGCACCCUGCAGCAGGUGGAUGGGGUGGUGCAGCCCCAUAGCUGCUUCUUUGUUCCCAAACCUGCAACGUCCACAGCCCCAGGUGCCUCCAGCAUGGUGCUGGGACCACAUCCUCUUGCUUGGAGUACGUGGUACAAAGUGGCUCUGUCUAAAAUUUUUAUUUUUCCUGUGGUUUUGACCAAAUC